GGUGAAGAAGGCCAAGGAGAAGGAAUAGGACGUGAUUUUUGAAGAAGAAAGGGAAACACGAUCGUUAAGGAAGCUUAAGCGGAAAGCAUCAGAGUGUAGAGUACGCCAGCAUUUUUCAGGUUAUAACGAGGUCAUUCCGGACGAUUUGGAUUAGAGGUGGGUCGUUGGCUGAGUCCGUGUGUUGCUGUUCCUGUUGCUUGAAGUUCUUCCCUUGUGGUAUUCCAUCGUUUUACUCGUUUUUUUCAUUCCAUGUUGAACUCUGUGAGGUCCGCCUACCUGGGAGCGCGCCUCACCCCUUUGUUUUAUUGUUGUUGUUGAACUUUCCUUUCAUUUCGGUUAUGAUGUAAGCCCUAAGGCGCCACAAUGCACUUGCCCACUUUAUUUUUAAGCUUUUCCA